GACGAACCGUGCGAACGUUGUUCGGAAUCACUGGGCUUAAAGGGUGCGUAGGCGGGUUGUCCAGUCUGGGGUGAAAUCCCACGGCUCAACCGUGGAACUGCCUCAGAUACUGACGACCUCGAGGGAGGUAGGGGCGAGCGGAACUGUGGGUGGAGCGGUGAAAUGCGUUGAUAUCCACAGGAACUCCGGUGGCGAAAGCGCUCUGCUGGACUGCAACUGACACUGAGGGACGAAAGCUAGGGGAGCGAAAGGG
rnacentral:rRNA from 1 species